UGGGGAAUUUUGGACAAUGGGGGAAACCCUGAUCCAGCCAUCCCGCGUGUGCGAUGAAGGCCUUCGGGUUGUAAAGCACUUUUGGCAGGAAAGAAACGUCGCGGGUUAAUACCCCGCGGAACUGACGGUACCUGCAGAAUAAGCACCGGCUAACUACGUGCCAGCAGCCGCGGUAAUACGUAGGGUGCAAGCGUUAAUCGGAAUUACUGGGCGUAAAGCGUGCGCAGGCGGUUCGGAAAGAAAGAUGUGAAAUCCCAGAGCUUAACUUUGGAACUGCAUUUUUAACUACCGGGCUAGAGUGUGUCAGAGGGAGGUGGAAUUCCGCGUGUAGCAGUGAAAUGCGUAGAUAUGCGGAGGAACACCGAUGGCGAAGGCAGCCUCCUGGGAUAACACUGACGCUCAUGCACGAAAGCGUGGGGAGCAAACAGGAUUAGAUACCCUGGUAGUCCACGCCCUAAACGAUGUCAACUAGCUGUUGGGGUCUUCGGACCUUGGUAGCGCAGCUAACGCGUGAAGUUGACCGCCUGGGGAGUACGGUCGCAAG
rnacentral:rRNA from 1 species